AUGCACUCUUUAAGGCAAAUUCAGUCUCGGGGCCCUCAGGCCAGAGUGGGGCAGCAAAGCACCUAUGGGGCUGACUACAAGCCCCCCAGUGAUCGGCACCUGAGGCUGUUCAGGCUCCAUGCAGAGCCAUCUUGCACCACACACCAGAAGUUGGCGGAUAUGUGGGCUCAGUACUACAGACAGUGUUUCCAGACCAUUACCAACGGCCCACAGAACCCCGCCUUUGCCUUCACUCAGAAGGGGAGAACAGUGAGGGCAGCUACAUUGGAGAGUGAGAAUUUCAGUAUGAUCCAAGUGGAAAGGACAGCUCCUCCAGAGAAGGGGCAGAGCCAGAUACCACCACAGCGUUCGAGCUCCGACUCUGGGGAACGAAGGUCGGUCUCUCCCUCUCUCCCCUCGACCUCAGUCCGUAACUCCAUCCCGUCCCGCCCUGCCCGGAAAGAGGCAUGGACACAGGCAACAGGGGACCCAACAGGGGUCACAACGACACCCAAGGACAUGGUGGAGCUGCCUCACAUCGGCAGUGGAGAAGGAAGUGAUGGGGAGCUCCCGCUGCAGGUGGAGCGGUUAAGGGAGGAGCAGUUCCGUCGGGACAUGACCCACUCAUCUAGGCAGGAAGGCCAGAUCAACCAGCGCAUAGCCAACCAGUCUAACCUCAUGCACCUAGGACUGCCAUUCGACGGUGUGACCACCUACAGCCAGAGUUACACACACUGGGACAACCCCUCCACACUGAGAGGCCCGCGCAUCCAGCCUGAAGCCACACUGAACUGGAGGGCCUGGGUGUCAGAGUACCAGGACCGGUACCAGGGCCCUGAUCGCUACGUCCCUGGGCAGAGGAAGCCCCCUAGUGGCCUGGAGAAGGAGCCCUGCACCACCGAGUACCAGCCUGGUGCCCACACCGCAGACCAAACCCAAGGGCACAUCCGCUCAGAGUAUCAGAGGCACUUCACCAAGAAGAACUACCCUGGCCUGUCCAGACCCAAGACCAGCCCUGCGUAG
rnacentral:lncRNA from 8 species